rnacentral:rRNA from 1 species
CAAUAGCGUAUAUUAAAGUUGUUGCGGUUAAAAAGCUCGUAGUUGGAUUUCUGCUGAGAACGACCGGUCCGCCCUCUGGGUGUGUAUCUGGCUCUUUCUUGGCAUCUUCUUGGUGAACGUUGCUGCACUUGACUGUGUGGAGCGCUACCCAGGACUUUUACUUUGAGGAAAUUAGAGUGUUUCAAGCAGGCAUACGCCUUGAAUACAUUAGCAUGGAAUAAUAAGAUAGGACCUCGGUUCUAUUUUGUUGGUUUCUAGAGCUGAGGUAAUGAUUAAUAGGGAUAGUUGGGGGCAUUCGUAUUAACCGGUCAGAGGUGGAAUUCUUGGACUCGGUUACGACGAACUACUGCGAAAGCAUUUGCCAAGAAUGUUUUCAUUGA